CAGUCGCCGCGGGAAAACGAGGGGGGCAAGCGUUGUUCGGAAUUACUGGGCGUAAAGCGCACGUAGGCGGCUUUGUAAGUCAGAGGUGAAAGCCUGGAGCUCAACUCCAGAACUGCCUUUGAGACUGCAUCGCUCGAAUCCGGGAGAGGUGAGUGGAAUUCCGAGUGUAGAGGUGAAAUUCGUAGAUAUUUGGAAGAACACCAGUGGCGAAGGCGGCUCACUGGACCGGUAUUGACGCUGAGGUGCGAAAGCGUGGGGAGCAAACAGGAUUAGAUACCCGAGUAGUCCCUGUCUCUUAUAC
rnacentral:rRNA from 1 species